UACUAUUAUGCAACCAAGACAUGAAGCACGCAGUUUGGAAUUGACCAACUUUGAGUUGUCAGACAUUUCAGAACAAGAUAACUUAGAUUUAAAGGACUCUUCUGUGAAUGAUGACGAUUCACUGCAGUCACUGUUAAAGAAAUUACAUGUUAUUACUCUAAAGUCAUACCAAAGCAUUAAAGAAUUAAC
rnacentral:lncRNA from 1 species